AUGUAUAAGUGGCUAGAGAGCCAUCUUAGUGGAUGCCAUUAUAGAUGGAUUUGGAAAGCUAAAAUCCCACUCAAAAUCAAGAUUUUUCUGUGGCAGUUGUCCCAGGAUGCAGUGCUCACUAGGCAAGUCAUGAGAACGAGGAAAUGGCCUGGGAAUCCCACAUGCUCUUUUUGUAAUGAGUUAGAAACCUCCCAACAUCUGUUCUUCACCUGUCCUGUGGCCAGGGUGGUUUGGAGAUGCGUUGGGUGGUGCUGGGUACUGAAAUGUGCCCGAAUAACUACUGGCAAUAUUUUGCUUGGUGUCAUGCUUUUUUCCCUGAUGGACAAAAGUACUAUACUGUGGGCCUGGCUGCUGCUUCCUGGGCCAUUUGGCUAG
rnacentral:rRNA from 1 species